AAAACACAACCCCGUACUACUAGCCUAACACAUAACACACGUCUGUGCAGGUCGCUACAGUCCAUUAACAAAUUAUAAAUCUUUCUGCCAACAAUCGUCAGAAAAAAAUGGUUUUAGACAUAUCCUCGUACUUGAGCCCUUAACGUUUUAGCUUCAAAACAUUCCUCGAAGUGGAAAUUCUCGGCCUCGCCCCCAGCGAUCUCUUCCGUGCUAACUUUUCUACAAACAUUCUCGAUGGAGGUAGCACUUUCUUUCUCGCUCUGUUCCCCUUCGGACAAAAACUACGAUACCUCAUCGCCAAUCUGUUGCAUCCCUGGUUAAGGGAAGCGGGUUGUUUUUAGUUAUUGUAAAGAAAAAGUAAACAGUAUAAAGCAUUAACAUCACGAAGAUGACAGUGGAUACUAAAUAGCUGGUUCCAAGCGGAGUCCAUCUGCACCCUUUCAAAGGAAACAAUUGAAUACCUUUAGUGUGUAGGCUAGUUACAGCGUGUAGCCUAGUUAGAGCCAUAAAUAUCCAGCUGUCAUCUGAAGUAUGCAAGCCAUGACAAUGACAAUGAGAAGCGGACACCGUUGCAUGCUGCUGCCUAUCUAGGAGAUGCAGAAAUUCUAGAGCUACUCAUACUAUCAGGAGCCAGAGUAAAUGCCAAAGACAAGUGUCUCAAUACUCUGCACCGGGCCGUGGCUUCCUGCAGUGAGCAGGCAGUCCAGGUGCUAUUGAAACACUCUGCUGAUGUGAACGCCAGGGACAAGAACUGGCAAACGCCGCUCCACAUCGCUGCGGCCAAUAAGGCGGUCCGCUGUGCCGAGGCCCUGGUCCCUUAGCAAUGUGAACAUGUCGGACCGAGCGCUCCACCAUGCAGCGGACACCAAGAGAUGGUGAGGCUCCUUCUCUCCAGAGGAGCCAACAUUAAUGCUUUUGACAAGAAGGACCGCCGAGCAAUCCACUGGGCUGCUUACAUGGGUAAUGAGUUGACCACAUAAUUUACAUUCUGAAUGUCCUUAUCCCAGUUAGUGAAUGGGCUGUGUGUUAGCCUCACAGCUCAGCUGUAUGGUCCACCACUAGUGUUUUAUUAUGUCAGAAUGAUGGACAAAGUAUGUUGAUAAGAUGUAGGUUUACAAUUGUACUAACAUGUAGCUUCAGCACCAACGUCAUCAGAUGGCCCAGUUGCAGCAUCAGUAGAGUACCCAUAGUCAGACGACAUGCGCCUCAGUUUACAGGUCAUCA